AUUUCCUAUUUGGAUGUAUGUAUGCACAGAUUUUGUUUACGCUUCGGGCGGACAGGAGAAAUUGUCCAUUCGGCGGGUUUGUUUCGGGCCCGAGCUGUCCAAAUUGGCGGCGUCGGAUCGUGACAGCCAAACCAUUGCACAUGUAGUUUGAUGGCGAGGCUCUGGUCACCUUGCCAUGCUUCCGAGGCGUCGGCAAUGAUCGUCGCCAACAGAAAUCCAACUUUUCGACUGCAUAGACAACAACGUGAGAGCACAACGGCAACAACUCAGCUUAUGCAUUGUUCUGGCCACAACUGAGGGGAGCAUGGGCUUGAAGGAAAUGUCUGGAAAGGCUGUGCUCGUCGACAUGAUGCGGCAAAGGCGAUGAAGUGCUAGAAAGAGAAAACUUGGCCACACAACAGCUUUUGGGAGCACACUAUCGUUGCAUGAAUCUAUAGACUGUUCCGACAACUCCUUGGAGGUGAGAACGCAAUAAAGAAGGCAGAGGUUUCGCAGUGCUCCACCUACCAGAGGUCGUCGGUGACAGAGAUUGCUGGAGGAAGGAACUUGGCCACGGAGGCUUUCGAGAGCACCACCAGUCCACGACCAGAGCUUGUGUUGAGAGCUUGUGUUGAUGUAACACACUGAAAAUUUGCAAAUUGCAAGGUUCCAGUGUUUGAUAUGUGAUUUGAGUUUUUCAGGUAUUUUGGAGGGUCGUAGACAGUGUUCCGACCCAUGGCUCGUAUCCCGAGAAUCGAGGUUUAAAGCUCAGCGCCAAAGUCCCACAAGUGAGGAAAUUUGGACUGCUCUUGGGUUCCCUCAGCAAGGCUGUGUACCGGUACAUGUUGAUGGUUGUACCAGUACAACAUCAGAUGUGUAACGGUACACAGGGUUGUUUUCUGUCAACCUGAGGCUCGGGUUGUUGUCUGGCUGGCUUUGUACCGGUACACAGGGUUGUUUUCUCGUGUACCGGUACGUAGUGCAGUUGCAGACUGCACGUUGUUGGAGGGUCUUUUUGAGAUUGUUACAUUUCUAUUUAACCCCCCACAGCCCUUUAGAGAGCUCCUUUGAGCCCUAAUCCGUGGAGAGCUCAGCCUUGGUUUGAGGAGAGGAGUUUUCUAGAGGACCAAACUUCAACCUUAGCUCAUUCCAAGCUUGGAUUGGAGCAUAUUGAGAGGUUAGAUUUGAAGAUCCAUUGAGUUGAUUUGGGCUUUGGACAAGUGUAGCUUGGUUAAAGGGUGCUAGAAGCUUGGGGGGCAACUUCGUUUGAGGAAACGAAAGGGUUCGAAGCGCUUCCGGUGGGUUUGAUCUCACCGAAAUGGGUGAACUCCUCCUAUGUCUUUACUUUGGUUUAAAGACAUGUUUAGAUGUUUGUUCGUACUCAUUAUGACAUGCUUGCAAUUAUGAGAACAUGAUAUGAACAUGUUAUGUAUAGUGAAAAUAUAUGCUCUAUGUGGCAGAGGCAUACAUGCGGAAUUGGGCACUUUUUGACCAUAGUUGAGAUUUCUCGUUUAUGCAAACCCUAAGAAGCAUGUUAGAGUGUGAUUGUUGAGAUGAUCCCUUGAGAAUAUCUAGUGACUGGAUUAUGCAUAUAAUUACCUCACAUAAUGACAAUGUUAUACUUGUUAGAGGCAAG